ensembl:snRNA U6 U6 spliceosomal RNA
AUCUUUUUUAAAAACCUGUACACUAAAAUUGGGCCAAUACAGAGAAGAUUAGCGACUCUGUUCAAGGAGGACAUGCAAAUUCAUGAAGCAUUCCAUAUUUUU